GAGCGUCGGAAACUAUCGAGUCUUGCCGAGCAAGAGCAGUGACACAACUACCAUCGCAAACCACAGUCAAAUGAGAGCCACAAUCACGGAAUUUUCACCUUCGCUGCGUUAAAAACUCGGAAACUUUGUCAGGGUCGUUUGAAUACGCUUUGCUUUAGGAAAGACUGGGCUUACAGGCCUAUUUAGUUAUGAGCUAUUUAUAUCACUUGAAGGGGGAAAUUGUUUGUCUUGAAGUUUUAAUGACUUUCACAUCCUGAAAUGAAACGGGUAAAGGCACAUGGUCUAAUGAUAACGGAACAUAUGGAUACAAACGAGAGCAGCCUUUGGUUCUGACCCACUACAGAGCCUCUCGUUCAUGUCGAUGCUUCCACAACUACCUCACCGCUGAAUGUUACCUUUGUGUCUCUGAUCGACUUCAGACACUUUAAAAAACUUUCAUCCACACAUUCUAGUGACAUGAAAGCCAUUGAGCUGUCUGAGGAAGGAAGUUCAGAGGAAGGUCCUUUUGUUUUGGGCCCGGUACCGCCUACACAGUGUCCUGCGAUUUCAUUGGACCUUCUAACUACACGCUGCAACAAGCUGUUCUGUGGAGCCCCCCCACCCUGCAACGAGCUGUUCUGUGGAGCCCCCCCACCCUGCAACGAGCUGUUCUGUGGAGCCCCCCCACCCUGCAACGAGCUGUUCUGUGGAGCCCCCCCACCCUGCAACGAGCUGUUCUGUGGAGCCCCC
rnacentral:lncRNA from 1 species